rnacentral:lncRNA from 1 species
CUGAGUGAGGCCUGACGCCCAACGUUGCAAAUGUCAGCCUGGACUGGACUUCCCCUUCAACGGUCGUUCUUCUAGGUUACAAAGAAAAUCAAAGUCCUUUGCAUGGCUUACAAGGGACUGGAGGACCUGACUUCUUGCUCUUUUAUUGCUUUUGAGGACAUGGGGCUGUCUGUGAUUUUUAAGGAACUCUGUUAAACAUUUUCUAAUUUCCAUUUUGAGUCUUGUCUAAAAUGUGUGAGAGUAGUGGAGAUAUUGGGAUUAGGUUUAGAAAUCCCAGAAACACCACAUCCAGAUGUCCUAUGUUUUCUGCUUUAUAAUUUCAUAUCCUGUGAAGGUUUCAAAUAUGAUUCUACAGAAAUUCAUACUCAAUAAUUUAAUCAGAACACUAAGCCUCUGCCCCAUAAAAGAAAACCAAAUGUUAUUUUAUUUCAAAAUUUUACGUUUUUGGUAUGUAUUGAGGCUAAUACUGUAAACACUCUGUGCCAUAAUUCCUAAACUGUAAUAUGGUAUAAUGUAUCUACUUUCUACAUUUAAAACAUGUACUUUGCCAUUGAAGAACUUAGAAUAUUGCUGAGCAUGUAUUAAAUACCCAUUUUUUUCUUGAUUUUUAAUA